AUUUUCCAUAGCACAUAUACUAAAAUUGGAACGAUACAGAGAAGUUUAGCAUGGCCCCUGCGCUAGAGCUUAAUUUUUAAUUGUUUAUGCUGCUAUAUUCAU
ensembl:snRNA U6 U6 spliceosomal RNA